rnacentral:ribozyme from 2 species
GUCUGAAGAAAUUCAGGAGCAUGGCCUCAGAACCCUCAGAACUGGAUACAUCAUAUCCCUAACCAAGACAAGACAUCCUUUAGAUACCAUGCCAACUCAUGAUUCUCUCAUGAGAUCUCAUGUUUGGAGAGAUCUCUGACUUUGCCAACCACUGUUAA